AGUUGGAUUCGCUAGUAAUCGCGCAUCAGCCAUGGCGCGGUGAAUACGUUCCCGGGCCUUGUACACACCGCCCGUCAAGCCAUGGGAGCCGGGGCGCCUGAAGUCCGGGACCGCGAGGACCGGCCUAAGGCGAAACUGGUGACUGGGGCUAAGUCGUAACAAGGUACC
rnacentral:rRNA from 1 species